UCCCUGGUGGCUCAGAUGGUAGAGAAUCUGCCUGCAAUGCGGGAGACCUGGGUUUGAUUCCUGGGUUGGGAA
rnacentral:tRNA from 1 species